rnacentral:rRNA from 1 species
GACGAAGGAUGCAAGCGUUAUCCGGAUUCAUUGGGUUUAAAGGGUGCGUAGGCGGCCAGAUAAGUCAGUGGUGAAAUCCUGUUGCUUAACAACAGAACUGCCAUUGAUACUGUAGGGCUUGAGUAUAGAUGAGGUAGGCGGAAUUGACAGUGUAGCGGUGAAAUGCAUAGAUAUUGUCAAGAACACCAAUUGCGAAGG